rnacentral:lncRNA from 1 species
AUGAGAUCUUGUGGAUACGGGUUGAGAACCUAAUGGCCACAGUGGCUUUGCUCCUAGACUCCUACAAAUCAACACAACAACAGAUGGAGGAAAUAAUUUUUGACAUCAGGUUGAUCAAAUCUAGAAUGCAGAACAUUUCUGUGGGGAAGCUUAUGUCAAAAUGAAAGUUCCAAAUCCAAAACCGUUCAAAGAUACUCAAAGCGCCAA